AAGGUUUUAUCUUAAUGAAAGAGUCUGGGUUGCAUUCAGAAGAUGUGAGUUAGUGUCUCGCAAGCCUUA
rnacentral:tRNA from 1 species